AAAAAUAAUUGGAAAAUAAGAUUUAAGUCUAUUUGUUUUUAUCUAAAAAUACAUCUAAAUAAUCAAUUAAAAUAAUUAGGAUAUUUUUGUCAUUUGUUAAUUCUGACUGAACCAUCUCCAUCCAAAUGAUCCAAUUAAAUUCAGCCAAAUGAGUUUCAAAAUUUAGCCUAAAUUUUCAAACUCAUCCAAAUGAUUCAUUUGGAUGGAUCAUCUGAAUGAACCGUUUUUUGCACUAAACGAACAUCAAAACUCAUCUCCAUCCAGAUGAUCCAUCUGAAUGAUGAAACGAACAGAGCCUUAAUAGAAUCUGAAAAGAGUGGGUCCUCAAUAAUUAAAAACCAAGAAUUCAAGGGGAUGGGACUUUUCCUAUAAAGAAGCCAAAGCCUUUCUCACCAUUUUCUCUCAUCACCAAACAAACAAACACAUUCAAAU
rnacentral:sRNA from 1 species